AAUUUUUUUUUCCACGUUUUAUCAACGUGUUGCGUUAUAUUUAUGAUAACCAGUGGUUGUUGAAGUUUGUUAAAAGUUUGUUUUCAAAAGGUAGGGUUAGAAUAUUUUUUCAAGGUUGGGGCAUUGGUUGGGGUUGGAAUUUCCUUAUGGCGACGUUUUGAAGUAAUUUUUUUCUACGUUUUAUCAAUAUUACGAUUACAAGUUGUUAUUGAAGGUUGUUUUUUUGUUAAAAGGUAUUUAAUAAAAGGUAGGGUUAGAAUUUUGGUCAAAAGGUUGGGGCAUGGGUUGGGGUUAGAAUUUUUGUCAAAAGGUGGGGUUAGAAUUCGUCCACCAGAGGGGUUUGGUGUUGCAGUUAGUACUCAGUACAUAAGUCAAGGCAUUCAGGUGCAGACUGUAGAACUGGGACGCUGCAGGGUCUGCCUAUUAGUCAUGUCAGCGAACUUAAAAGUUUUACAUCGUGAAGAUAGAAAGUCCCACUCCCAGUGAGUCGUCUGACCACGUGUUCUGAAAGUGCUGUCCUUAUGCAGAAAUGUCGUCUCGUACUAGAAAACAGAAACUUGAAUGGAAUGUGCAUCAUAUCUUGCCGAGUUGGUGUCAGAAGGGAUACGAUUUCUACUGCGGGGUCUGAAAGCUUACAACAUAUACUUGACAAUUCCAUGUGUUGUGGAGUGCUCUACAUUUUCUGAAGAUUUUUGCUGCUUCUUGGGAUGUUUUGUCACAUGGACAAGUACUUUUACUUUGAAGAGGAAAUGUGCAAGGGCCAUGCAGCUUACUGUCCACUAUUUUGUUCAUAAUAAUUGUUUUCUACUGAAUUCCAAAGCUUAAACAAUCUUUUUCCCUAACUUUUGAAAGGUAGAUUAAUUCAAGCUGUUGAAUGAUGGUGUUUGCUGCUCAAUGCGAAGAUGGUGAAAUGGUGAGAUGGUGAAUCUACAUUCACUUUGCAUACGGUCUACACCUUCUUUGGACAUGGGCAUGGCUUGCUUGUCUUUCCUUCCGCGACGUUGUUGGAUAACGUUCACCUCAGUCAUUGUGAGUUACUUUCUUACCUGGUAACAUUAACAGUACCUUUAAUUUAUUUUUGGCAAUUCCAUCUGAUCAUUCGACCUGCCUUCCCAAAAUGUCGUCUCUUGCUGUAUGUUGCAUGUUUCGUCACAAGAGUUAUUUUCUCGCCAUUCGUUGAAGCUGAAUCGAUAGUGAACCAAUUUAAAGCAACAGGUGAUUUCCUUUUCUCCACAGUGUGGUCGCUGCCGUGCCAUGAAGACGGUCUUUGUGAGGGUCUACUAUGUUGCAAUGUGUUGAAAGGAGGGAAUCUGUUAAGUUUAGUAAUGCACCUGGCUUUUGCAGACAUCCACUCGAGUUAACAAUUGGAAAAGUAUCUAUCCAUCUGUGUGUAUAGAUAUAGUACUUACCUAAUAAUCUAACCACUUUGGCUUCAACUGCAGUCCAUUUGGCUGAAAUGUUGUCCAUUGUUAUUUGUGUGGGUUGAUUGUGAGAGAUUCCUUUCCUUAUCAGCUGAAGAGCUUGAGGAUAUCGUAAAGGCUGAACUAAAUUGCUGUCAUGCAGGUGAUUUUGUUGCAGACAGCUGGUGAAAGCGAGGGCAAGUCAAGUUUAGCUGAAGCUUCUGGAUACUGUCUACAUUGCUGGUGUCAUCCUGAAGAGGGGUAGUGUUACUUGAAAUGUAACAGCAACAAAGACAUCUUGAAAAGGUAGUUUGAUUGUGAUUAUGGCCUGUAAUUAAGGAAGUUUCGUGAAGUGUGAUCAAAAUAUUGUAAUGUGUGUAGAGUUUUGUGAAAACAUAGUCACCUACUUGAUCAAUCUGAGCUGACUUGACUUGGUGACAGUGUUAAAUUAAAUAUCAAUCUGCUGCAUGUAUUUCAUGAAGCCGGCGUUUUCCAGAAAUGUUGCAGGGAGACUUGGAGCAUAGAUGCAAGAAAACUUCUGAAAUGGAGUUGGUGGAAAUGUAAAGUGGUUUUGCUGUCUGGUUCCUGUUCAAGCUGUUAUUCUGCAUCUGCUGAAAUCCUUGAAGAAGCUGAUGCUGAUAUUAUCCUACAGUUUGUUUUCCAGUGCAAUUUUGGUUGUCAACAUCUUUUGUUGUUUUCAUCUGUGUAGUGUAUAAUUCAAACUAUUUGAUAUUUUGGUUUUCAAUGUGGUAUGUUGCGGCUUAUGUUGGUGAAGAUCUUUGUGCGGUUGUCUUCGUUGUCUUUAAGCAAUGUUUCAAUUAUUUACUUCAUACUUGAAACCUAAACCUGAAAUCACUUGUUUAAUUUUGUAAACUAAAAUGCUGGUUCAUCAAAUCAUGAAUUAAACUCGUUAAAUAUACAAUUAUACGUUA
rnacentral:lncRNA from 1 species